CGGGCGGGGGCGGGCAGGUGGAAGCAGGGUCUCUGGGGACCCAACCGAGGCAUUCCCCAGAGGAAGUCCCCCAGCGCUUUGCAUCCCAUAGGAUGGGUGAGGCGUGCAAGGGAGCUGCACCUCACCUGGUCCCUACUCUGCUCAAAGUGUGGACUUCACUUGGUGGGGUCCCAUGAAAGGGCCCAUAGGAGCCCGAGGAGGAGGCCAGGGACCUCCAUCCUGGGGGCACAUCAGUUUGGGGUUUGAGGCUUACUGUGUCUGGGGGAGCAGACCAACACAACUGCCCUAAGGGAACCUCGGGCUGGUUCCCAUCUACCCUGCCCGGUGUGGAGAUGCAGGAUCUGGGACCACACAAGGACUCCCACCUGGUCAGCCUUACUCACAACUGGACACACACAGUAAUGUUUUAUUUACACCCUACCCCUGGUAGCCUGGUUCCCUCAGCCCUGAGGUGGGGGUAAUGUCAAUGAAUUUUUUUUUUAAAUAUGUUUUUAGAGCAGCUGUGCCCUAUAGAACUUAUAGGGCAUGAUGUAAAUGUUCCCUCUACCUGUGCCGUCCAGUCCAAUAGUCACUAGCCACAUGUAGCUACUAAGUGCCUGAAAUAUGGCUAGUGUCAAUUGAAUUUAAAUUUUUUUAAUUUAAUUCCAAUUAAACAGUUACAUGUGACUAAGUGGCCGCUGUACUGGGAAGUGCAGUUUUAGAAUCUCCACGUUCCAGGCUUCCAGCUGCCUGCUCUUUGGUUCUUUCAUCAAAACAUCCUAGAUCAUAUCAUUUAUCCCUCUGCAGAACAGGAUGGGAUAGCUGGCUUCCAAGUACAUAGAAAGGAUCUGAGAAACUUCCAGAAGGUCUUAGUGGUCCUGCACCCCUCCCCCAUUCUAAGAUCCUUUGCGCAUUGGGCUGUGCAAGGUCAUAGAAUCACGGCCUCUUAGGAGGAAAGCAUAUCAAAAGCAGCUAUUUUAACCACACAGCAGGGGUCCAAGGUCCCACUGCACUGCUCUGUCUGAAGCUUGCUCUUCCUUAUUCUUUCACCCCUCAAAUUUUGUGGCAUGCCUGCUGGGCAUGGCACUGUUCACAAGAAGAAGUUAGCUACCUUUCCAGCCCACGAGGAGUGUGUGUGAGAGGAGCGAGGGGGCCGAGGAGGAAAGGAAGGGAUGUGAAGCCACAGAACUAUGCAGAAGUAAGCAGAGCUUUGUAAACUGCAGGAAGCCAGGUAAAAUGUCAUAGGAAGGGUGGGAACAUUUGGGCAUGUGUGCAACUGGGGAUGAGUGGCCACCAGUGGGGUCAGCAAUGCUGGGCAUUAACAGACUGCAAAGGAAUUUGGGCACUUGACCUCAGAGCAGCAGGCAGCCUUGGAGAGAUUUAAGGUGUACGUUUGUUUGUUUGGUGGUGGUACUAGGGACUGAACCCAGGGGGACUCUCUGGCUGAGCUCUAUCCCCAGCCCUUUUCAUUUUUUGAGACAGGGUUUCACUAAGUUGCUACAGCUACAGCUGGCUUUGAAGUUGCAGUCCUCCUGCCUCAUCCUCCCUAGUUGCUAGAAUUACAGGUGUGCACCACCACAUUUGGCCUAAGCAAUACGUUUUUAAAAGUCCCCCUGGGCUGGGCAUGGUGGUGGUCGCCUGUCAUCCCAGAGACUCUGGAGGCUGAGGGAGGAGCAAGUUCAAGGCCUGCCUCAGCAAGUCAGCAAAGCCUUAAGCAACUUAGCAAGACCCUGUCUCAGAAUAAAAAGGGUUGAGGAUGUGUCUCAGUGGUUAAGUGACCCUGAGUUUGAUCCCUGGUACCAAAGCGGGGGAAAAAAAGUCCCCUUGGUCAGAGAAGAAUAAGGAUGGAAACCCAGAAUGCUCUCAGACAGUGACUAUAUUAGUCCAGGCAGGAGAUGAAGGUGGGCAGAACAAGGCCACCAGGCAAUACCAUGGAGAGAAGGCAUGCAAUUGAGGUAGAUUUUGGAGGUGGGAUCUACAGAUCCUGUUGGUGGACCAGGCCCUGGACUGGGAGAGAGGUGGGGUCAGAACUGCAGGUUUCUGGCCAGAGCACCUGGAAAGGAAAAGGGGCUAUUUUUUGAGAUUGAAAUGACUGAGACAGGGGCAUAUUUGUGAAGAUCAAUCAAGAGUUCUAUGUAGAUAAGCCAAGAAGGCAGCUAGAGGGAGGGGCUUUGGGACCAGGCUGGGGCUGUCUAUUUCAGAGUGGUCCACAGAGGUGGUUCUAAAACCUUUAGAUAGUUUGAGCUUGGGAAGAGGAUGAAGAAAUGAACUCCAGAGGCCAAGGAGUGGCUCAUAGUGGGAAGGGAAACCAGGGUAUGUGGGGUCUUGGAAGGCAAGUGGUGGCACAGAGCUGUAAUCCCAAUGAGUCAGGAGGCUGAGGCCGAAAGAUCACAGGUUUGAGGCCAGCCUCAGCAACUUGUGAGACCCUGUCUCAAAAAAGGGCUGGAGAUGUAGCUCAGCGGUACAGUUCUCCUGAUUUCAAUCCCAGUACAAAAGAAGAAGAAUAUUAGAAUGUUUCAAGGAGGGCAUAGUGAGAAGCACCAAAUGCCACUCAGAGUACAGGGGAAGAAGACCAGGGACUUCCCCUGCACCUGGUGACACAGAGUGGGCUGCCCCUGGAAUUCUGCUCCUCUGCUCUUGUUUGACCUACUCACCACAUGUAUUCCCCAUGUGCCAGUUGGCAUGCAGGACUUGGCACACAGCAAAUGGACAAGAUGGUCAUUUAGUGAUAUCUCAGAGCUUAGGUUCUUCUAAUCAGCAGUCUCAGACACAGGUAGUUCUUCCAUGAAACCAUAACAAAUCCUUUUGUUCUUUUAUGUGUUUCUUUUUGAGUCGGGGGGUCUUGCUAGGUUGCCUACACUGGCCUCCAACUCAAGGUCCUUCUGCCUCUGCCUCCUGAGUACCUGGGAUCACAGUCUUGCGCCGCUGCACCCAAUUCUGUAGUUGUUUUAAGCCAUCAGCUUUUACUGUGAGGCAUCUGCACCUAAGUACUUAGAGAUACAAAAAAAUGAACAAACUUGGUCUUGACUUUCUAGGAACCCAAGUGCAGUCAUGCGUGGAGAAUCCCUGCAUUUACCAUAGGGAACUGCAGGAGACUAGAAGACAGGUGCCAGCCCAGCUGGGGGCAUCAGGAAGACAGGGGGGAUGCCUGGGCUGCUUUCAAAGCAGGAGUGGCAACUAGCCAGGAAAAGGAGGCUCAGAGGAUAGACAGGGACAAAAGUACCAGUUCUGCAUAAGUGGAGAAUGGCUUUUUUGGAAUUGGCUUUGCAGAUGGGAACCUCUAGGUGGCUCUAGAGGUAUCCAGAGGCUGUGGAGGGUCUUGUUGGCCCCUGGUGAGGUGCACAGAUUUAGGCAAUGGGGUACCACCGAAGAAGAAGCAAGGGAGUGACAGGUAGAUCUGUGCCUGAGCUUUCUUUCUCAGGCUGUGGGGUGAGUGUCAAGUGUGAGGGGAAUAACAGCAGAGAGAAGAAGGCUGCAGCUGUAAUCCACAUGAGCUAGUGGGGCCUGAACUGGGCUGAGGCUGGAAAGAUGGGAAGCAGAAGGUGGUGCAGCCCAGGAGCUCAGGAUGGCCUUUAGGUUCAGGAGGACUUGAGUUCCAAUUCUGCCUCAGCUACUUAGUGUUUGCAAAACCUGAGAUAGAUCACUUAGUCAUGGAGCCUCAAUUUCUUUACCCACAGAGAGUAAUCUUGAUCCUCUUCAGGAAUCACUGUAAAGUACUCUGCACAGGACCCGGCUCAAUUCACACUGUGAGUGGUAGUUACUGCUUAUAGUCACACCGUAAACUGCGAGGCUAGGAUUAGUCCCUGAGUCUAACCAUCCUGCACUGCCUACCUCCCUCUCUCAGCCAUCGAGAUCGUUAGAUUUGAGAUCAUUAGGAGUUGGAGUUGGCUGGUUUGGUUGGUGGCUGGACAUGACCUUCUGAUCCCAAAUGGCUUAUCCUGGAUUCAUGCCUGGGGCAAGGUCACAAGCUAGCUACCUUCACUCUGGGGCUUAGCCUCCCAAGCAGCCACAGGUCUAGGCUACUGUUCUAGAAUCACUGCUGGGGUGUGUGUGUGUGUGUGUGUGUACACUUGCAUGUGUGCAGGAAUGGGAGUACCAGAGAAAAUCCUGUUCUGACCUUCUUCUGAUGAGCUAGGUAGCUGUGGGCUGCAGGGGACUGGUCAUCCUUUGGGCUAGGAGUCACGAGGUCUGCAUUGUAAUCCUGGUUCAGCCGUGAACUACUCAUGAACCCUAAGAAUCAUUCUGUCUCUGGGACUCAAUUUCCCCUAAAAAUGUCCUAUAACAUGUGAUUGCAUAGAUGGUGGCUCUGAGUUCUGAGAUGCUGCAGCUGUCAAAGCCAAACUAUAGCGUGUCCUGGAUGGAAGGACUUUGGAGGGGAUUGGGGGCCUGUACCUCCCUGACGUUGGCCUUUGGUAUGAGUGCAUACUCCCCAAAGCCCCUGCCCCAUUGAGUCCAGUCCACCCCUCAGCCUGGGAGGACUCUGGGCAGGAUGAACCCCACCACCCCACCGGAAUCUGCUCCCACCAUGACGGUCCCCCUAACACCUCUCCCUUGUCUUUUUCAUCUCCAGUCUCCCACCGGCAGAGCAGGAAUAAACUUUCCAGGCUAAGUUAGAUGGAUGGUGCCCCUUAGCCUGGUGGGCUGCCCCCUCCUCUCCACACCAGCUCCCCUGUCAAGGGAGGUGUCUGUGUGGUUGGGGAGGGAGGAGGCACAAGCAUUUGGGUGGGGGUUGGGGGUCCCCUGCCCCUAGAGUAGGAAUGGUGCCCCCGGGGAAGAAGCCAGCAGGAGAGGCCUCCAACUCCAACAAGAAGUGCAAGCGUUACUUCAAUGAGCACUGGAAGGAGGAGUUUCCCUGGCUGGACUUUGACUAUGAGCGGAAGCUGAUGUUUUGCCUCGAGUGUCGCCAGGCCCUGGUACGAAACAAGCACGGCAAAGCUGAGAACGCCUUCACCGUGGGCACCGACAACUUCCAGCGUCAUGCCCUGCUGCGCCACGUCACCUCGGGGGCCCACCGCCAGGCUCUGACAGUCAACCAGGGCCAGCCCACUUUCGAGGGCCCUGUGGAGGGAGGUGGGGCCUACAGCAGCCUGGCUGCCACCCCCACCUCCAGGGAUGUCAAGGUAGAGGUGGACUCUGCCAAAGUGGCGGUGCUGACCACUGUGUACUGCAUGGCCAAGGAGGAUGUGCCCGACGACCGCUGCUCUGCCCUGCUCGAGCUGCAGAGAUUCAACCUGUGCCAAGCGUUGCUAGGCACAGAGCACGGCAAUUACUACAGCCCCAGGAGAGUGAGGGACAUGCAGGUGGCCAUUGCCAGUGUCUUGCACACAGAGGCCUGCCAGCGCCUGAAGGCAUCCCCAUUUGUGGGGCUGGUGUUAGAUGAGACCAGGGACUGGUCUGAAUCCCACAGUCUAGCCCUGUUUGCCACUUCCGUAUCCCCAUGUGAUGGCCAGCCUUCUACCACCUUCCUGGGCAGUGUGGAACUACAGGAGGGCAGGGCCACUGCUGGUCAGCUCUUGGACAUCCUGCAGGCCUUCGGAGUAUCUGCACCCAAGCUAGCCUGGCUCAGCUCAAGCGUCCCCAGUGACCGCCUAGGGAGUGUCAGCCUGCAGCUCCAGGCUACCUGCCCACUGCUCACGGAGCUGCACUGCCUCCCUGGUAGGACAGAUCCUGAACCCCCUGCCUACCUGGGUGAAUAUGAGAGCAUACUGGAUGCCCUAUUCCGCCUGCACGGUGGCCCCAGUUCUCACAUGGUUCCUGAGCUCCGCGCAGCACUGGACUUUGCAGCAAUUGACUUGGCAGGGCCAAGGCCAGUGCCCUGGGCCUCCCUGUUGCCUGUUGUGGAAGCAGUGGCAGAGGCCUGGCCUUGCCUGGUGUCCACCCUGGAAGCCGCAGCCCUAGCCUCACCGACAGCUGCAGCCCUGGCUCUGGCCCUGCGCCAGUUCACCUUCGUAGCCUUCACCCACCUGCUGCUGGACGCUCUGCCCUCGGUGCAGAAGCUCACCCUCAUCCUGCAGCCGGAAGAGCCGGACCUGGCCUUGUUGCAGCCCAUGGUGAUGGCGGCAGCAGCUUCCCUCCAAGCCCAGCGCUGCUCAGGGGGAGCCCGUCUCCAGGGCUUCCUGCGGGAACUGGCACUCUCAGACCCCGACCGGGGCGGUGGGCGCUGCGCCUACCGCAGCGUGGAGCUGGUCGGCUACUCAGAGGCCGCGAUCAGGGACUUGGAGCGGCUGCAGGGAGCCUUUCUGGACUCCAUGCAGAGGGGGCUGCGAGACUCCUAUCCUGGGCCCUCGCUGGAUGCCGUGGCUGCCUUUGCCGCGAUCUUUGACCCCCGCCGCUAUCCGCAGGCCCCGGAAGAGUUGGGUGCGCACGGCGAGGGGGCGCUGCGGGUGCUGCUGCGCGGCUUCGCGCCUGCGGUGGUGCGCCAGCGCGCGCUGGGCGACUUCGCUCUCUUCAAGCGCGUGGUGUUCAGCCUGGGGCGGCUCAGCCCGCGGGCGCUGUGCACCAAGCUGGCUUGCGAGCACUCGGAGCUGCACGAGCUUUUUCCUGACUUCGCUGCCCUGGCCGCUUUGGCUUUAUCUCUGCCCGCGGGCGCCGGCCUCCUGGACAAGCAGGCCCAGCCUCCAGUGCCCCCAGCCCCCUGCUGGCCUCCUUGCCCCUGCCCACUCGGCCUCUGCAGCCCCCGCUGGACUUCAAGCACUUGCUCGCCUUCCACUUCAAUGGCACCGCCCCGCUCAGUCUCUUCCCCAACUUCAGCACGAUGGACCCAGUCCAGAAAGCUGUCAUCAGCCACACAUUUGGGGUCCCCUCCCCUCUGAAGAAGAAGCUCUUCAUUUCCUGUAACAUCUGUCACCUGAGGUUCAACUCAGCGCCCUGGAUGCAGAAGAGACAGUUCUGAUACAUCAACUGUCCCAUCCUCUCCUCUCUCCUGCCUCUUUCCAUAACCCUCUGCUGCCUACCUCUAGACAACUGGGAUUCCAUCCCCCCCACCCUUUGCCACUUUCCUAUGUUCUGGAUCCUUCUGCAAGAGAGAAGACUGCCCUUACCCACUCUGGGUCCCUGUAAGCUCCUGGUCUGGAGCUGAGGUGUUAAAGCACCUCAGAGUUUAUAGAAUGUGUUCAUGCCCAUCAUCUUGACGGGUUCUAAUGAUACAGCUGUGAAAGAAAUAGAGGCACUAUUAUCAUCCACACUUUUCAGAUGAGGAAACUGAGCCUAGAGAGAUUAAGUGACUUGCCUGAGGCCACACAGCUGGUAAAUAGCAAAGCUGGGAUUUGAACCCAGGCCUAGCCAACCCCAAGGCUGCAUACUUUUUACUAUAACUACCCCUGGGGAGAGCAGGGGCCUCAUUCUGGCCUCCUCAGAAAGGUUUACCUCUUGUCCAGGCAAUGCUGGGGUUUAGGUUGGAUGUCAGAACUGCUGUCAUGCAAGAGUCUGUGGGGCGCUGAGAAGGCCUCUUUCUCACCUUUGAGGGAGGUGGGCUGGGAGCAAUAAGCAGGGAUCCCUGGCUGAAGCAGAGAAGACACUGACAGCCCAGAUCUGAGGGUCCCUCCAGUCUAUCAGGUCAUAUGAGGCCUGCCAAGAGAUGGACAGAGAACUUGCUCUGAGGGAGGGACCAUGUCUUCCUCAUGCUACUCCCUGGCACAGUGCCUGACAAAGAGCAAAUGCUCAGCAGCCAUUUGGUGAAAACAUGAACAAAGGAGUGAAUGUUUCAGGGCACAUGACCCCCACAUAUGAUGACUACCCUGUUGUCUUCAUGCGUGCAUCUAGAAACUUUUUUGGGGAUGCUAGUGUUCAAACCCAGAGCCUCGUGCAUGGUAUGAUACACAUUUCCCCGCUUUUUAAAAAAAUUUAAGACAGGGUCUCACUAGUUGCCCAUGCUAACCUCCAACUCUCUAUCCUCCUACCUCAGUCUCCUAAGUGGCUUGGAUUACAGGUGUGUACCAUCACAUCCAGCUGUCAUCUAUAAACUUGAUAAUGAACAUUUACUGAGCAGCAACUGUAUGUACUAGGCCCUGUGAGGUUGGCAUUAUCAUCACAAAGUUUAUGGGUGAGGAGACUCAGGCUCAGAGAGACGAUGUGACUUGCUCAAAGAUGAACAGCUCUUAUGUGACUUGCUCAAAGAUGAACAGCUCUUAAGUGGUUGAGUCAGAAUUUGAAGGUAGAGGCCACUUGCCUUGGAGCUCCUGUGUGAAAAAACAUUCUGUAAACAUCAGGGUCAUCUAUGUGCUGUGAUGUAAUGACAAGAGUGCACUUCGUGUGACCUGAACCCUGCAUCCCCUUUGACGUGUCCCUCUGCUCAGCUUCAGUCAUGGGUGGGACAUGUGGACCAGGCAAGGAAUUAUGACCCCAGGACCUCCCCU